UUAGUGGAUUGUUACACAAACACCCUUUUAAAAGUGUAGUUCGCUGCUUAGUUGGGAUCAGGAGUCAGGUUUGAGAUCACACUUCGAGCUGUACAAGUCCUCAGCGAUUAUGGCUGAUAAAGGUAAAAUGAGGAUAGCGGCAACUAGUGUCUACAGCAAGUCAGGAUGAAGGCCAGAAGUCACCGUCCAUCCACCCUUACCAGUAAAUGGGCAAUUCUGUGUUCUUCUUUGAGAGCUUGCUGAAGAUACAUGGGAAAAAGGAAUGCAAUCUAACACGUGCUUCAUUCAAAUGUAGUGGAGAGUAACGGGAACCAGUUUAUCUAUGAACGUAACCGGCUGACCGCCACAGCAGGUUAUGAGAGACUUCAUCAUGGAGUGUGUGAAGAAUGGCAAAGGAAAGCUGGAAACAUGGAAAAAAUAGCUAGGUUAUACCAGAUAACUUAGGAAGGAGAACAAUAAAAAUGACACAUUAUUUCCUUACAGACAGAAAGAAUUUUGUGAAAAUAUU